rnacentral:rRNA from 1 species
GUUAGGAAUAUUGGACAAUGGGCGAAAGCCUGAUCCAGCCAUGCCGCGUGAACGAUGAAGGCCUUCGGGUUGUAAAGUUCUUUAGCCGAUGAUUAUAAUGACUGUAGUCGGAAAAUAAGCCCCGGCUAACUUCGUGCCAGCAGCCGCGGUAAUACGAAGGGGGCGAGCGUCAUUCGGAAUCACUGGGCGUAAAGCGUGCGUAGGCGGUUUUGUAAGUUAGGAGUGAAAGCCCAGGGCUCAACCUUGGAAUUGCUCUUAAAACUGCAAGGCUCGAAUCUCGGAGAGGAUAGCGGAAUUUCCAGUGUAGCAGUGAAAUGCGUAGAUAUUGGAAGGAACACCAGUGGCGUAAGCGGCUAUCUGGACGAGUAUUGACGCUGAGGCACGAAAGCGUGGGGAUCAAACAGGAUUAGAAACCCCGGUAGUCC